ACGACGCUGGCGGCGUGCCUAAUACAUGCAAGUCGAGCGAACUGAAGGGAGCUUGCUCCCGGAAGUUAGCGGCGGACGGGUGAGUAACACGUGGGUAACCUGCCUGUAAAGACUGGGAUAAAACUCCGGGAAAACCGGAGCUAAUACCGGAUAUUUUCUUGAACCGCAUGGUUCAAGAAUGAAAGGCGGUUUCGGCUGUCACUUACAGAUGGACCCGCGGCGCAUUAGCUAGUUGGUGAGGUAAUGGCUCACCAAGGCGACGAUGCGUAGCCGACCUGAGAGGGUGAUCGGCCACACUGGGACUGAGACACGGCCCAGACUCCUACGGGAGGCAGCAGUAGGGAAUCUUCCGCAAUGGACGAAAGUCUGACGGAGCAACGCCGCGUGAGUGAUGAAGGUUUUCGGAUCGUAAAGCUCUGUUGUUAGGGAAGAACAAGUACGAGAGUAACUGCUCGUACCUUGACGGUACCUAACCAGAAAGCCACGGCUAACUACGUGCCAGCAGCCGCGGUAA
rnacentral:rRNA from 1 species